UAAAAUAAAAUUCAUACACGGUUCGGCAAUUUCUUCUCUCUCAAUCGCACAAUCACAUCAAAAGGGAUCUGAGAACCCUUCCUACAAAUCGCAGAUAAAGCAUGAUCUAAUCGGCCUCUCGCGAUAGCCCUAUCGCAACUCUCAGGCUUUGAGAGAUUAUCAUGCUUUUGACCAUUUGAGGUGUUUGCUUUGGAAAUACAUCUAAGCUCAAUGGAGAAGAAAGAGACGAGUGAAAAUGCAUGUUUAGGUUGAUAAAUGUAUAUAACGAGUUGACGUUAGUGUAUAUAAUUUUGAACAAUUUUAAUAUGCACACGUGUACACAUUUUUUAUCCAACACAUGAGUGAAACAUCUAUACACAUAUGUGUAAUUGUAGAUUUGAA